CACGCGCACGCACACACGCGCACACGGCACAAGCAUUCCUCUCACUCCCUUCCACUAUGCCAAGCUGUUUUGUGCUUUUGAGUCUUUGCUCACACAGAAAAGAAAGUGUGGAAGAUCUCAAAGAUUGUUAAGAGGGAGUGCCUUCUAUGCACUCUCCUCCUCAUCUCUCAACUGCCAAGUGGAUGCUGGGGGCUUCCUUGAAACUAUGAGUUGGAGGUGGUAGAGCCAGAGACUGCAAAGAGGCCUGUACUUUGAGGACAACUUGGAGAACAGUCCAAGCCUAUGCUGUGAGAAAGAAUGAGAGGGAAGGAAGUUGAAUUACAGAUGGUUAACUCCCACCUGUAUGUCCUGUGCUGGUGAAGUGAUACCAGGUGUGCAUCAAGUGUUAUGAGAAUGAGGUGGAAACAAGGGUCUUUGAAUAGAGGUGAGGGGAGCAAAUCUCUACUAAAGUAGACACAGAGAUCAGAAGAAACCAGGUCAAAGCUGCUUCCCACCAAGCUGUGUGGUCCCGGUUCCAGAACUUAUGAAAAUGUUGGAUGAAUGAAUGUGGAGGAGUGAAUAAAGAAGAAUGGAGAAAGGGGGACUAUGGAACUAGCACAAAUAUUCCCAGGGCAGGUAUAAGCAAGGGGAUGAAUCUGGGGCCAAAGUAAAAGACACAGACUUAGGUAAAGGGUGACUCCAGGUAGGGAAAUGAGAAAACCAUCAAGAUUCAGAGGGGAGAUGACCCCAUGCUUAGGGCAGAUUCUGGGCAGCACAGAGGGAGCAAGAGAGGUGGGAUGAUCCUCAUGCAGGGGCCAGAUGUGACUCUGCCUAAGGCUGGUGCUGUUUCCCAUAAGUGGGUGUUUCCAUUCCUGGUCUCUGAAGUGAUGAAAAUCAUGUUCUGAAAACUCACUAAAAGCAAAGCCCCUCUGUUUUUUCCAGCACUAGCUUUUGCCUGAAGUCAUUAUCUAUAAAAGACAGCAUGUGGACAUGAUAAGUUUAAAGGAAUUUUCCAGGUGUAACAUUUUAUUUUUUUUCCUGGCUUGCUUUUUUUUUUUUUUUUUUCCUCAGGCCUUUAUUCUCUGAAUCAUGUAAGCUGGAAAUCUGUCAUUCUUGAUGUUCCCUCUGUCCCAUCACUCUUCCAAAGUUUUAAUGAUAAAUAUUUCUGUUUCCCCUUACUGAUUCCUGUUUUAAUCUCCCUGGUUCAGAAUUAAUCACCUCCUACUUUCUAAGUGGUCUAUCUGGUUCUAGUGCAGUCUUCUCACUUUCCUGGUGUUCGGUUUAUCUUUCAAGUCACCAUCUUGUUCAUCAUCUGAGUGUUAAAACA